rnacentral:tRNA from 1 species
AGGCGGCUUAGCCAAGUGGUAAGGCACGGGUCUGCAAAACCUUGAUCACCGGUUCAAAUCCGGUAGCCGCCUCCAA